GGAGAGAUGGCUGAGAGGUUUAAAGCGUUCGCUUGCUAAGCGAAAGAAUGUUAAAAUUCUAUGGGUUCGAAUCCCAUUCUCUCCU
rnacentral:tRNA from 1 species